rnacentral:rRNA from 1 species
CACGUAGGGGCAAGCGUUGUCCGGAUUUAUUGGGCGUAAAGAGCUCGUAGGCGGUUCGGUAAGUCGGGUGUGAAACCUCCAGGCUCAACCUGGAGACGCCACCCGAUACUGCUGUGACUAGAGUCCGGUAGGGGAGCGUGGAAUUCCUGGUGUAGCGGUGAAAUGCGCAGAUAUCAGGAGGAACACCUGCGGUGUAGACGGCUUACUGGACCAUAACUGACGCUGAGGCACGAAAGCGUGGGUAGCAAACAGG